AGAGUUUGAUCAUGGCUCAGAGUGAACGCUGGCGGCAGGCCUAAUACAUGCAAGUCGAACGGCAGCACAGCAGAGCUUGCUCUGUGGGUGGCGAGUGGCGGACGGGUGAGGAAUACGUGGGAAUCUGCCCAGUCGUGGGGGAUAACGUAGGGAAACUUACGCUAAUACCGCAUGCGCCCUUCGGGGGAAAGCCGGGGACCUUCGGGCCUGGCGCGAUUGGAUGAGCCCACGUCGGAUUAGCUAGUUGGCGGGUAAAGGCCCACCAAGGCGACGAUCCGUAGCUGGUCAGAGAGGAUGAUCAGCCACACUGGAACUGAGACACGGUCCAGACUCCUACGGGAGGCAGCAGUAGGGAAUAUUGGACAAUGGGCGCAAGCCUGAUCCAGCCAUGCCGCGUGAGUGAAGAAGGCCCUCGGGUUGUAAAGCUCUUUUGUCCGGAAAGAAAAGCGCCGGGUUAAUACCCUGGUGUCCUGACGGUACCGGAAGAAUAAGCACCGGCUAACUUCGUG
rnacentral:rRNA from 1 species